rnacentral:rRNA from 1 species
UACGAAGGGGGCUAGCGUUGCUCGGAAUCACUGGGCGUAAAGGGUGCGUAGGCGGGUCUUUAAGUCAGAGGGGAAAUCCUGGAGCUCAACUCCAGAACUGCCUUUGAUACUGAGGAUCUUGAGUUCGGGAGAGGUGAGUGGAACUGCGAGUGUAGAGGUGAAAUUCGUAGAUAUUCGCAAGAACACCAGUGGCGAAGGCGGCUCACUGGCCCGAUACUGACGCUGAGGCACGAAAGCGUGGGGAGCAAACAGG